CAAAUUGCCGUUGAUUACACUGCGGCUGACACGCACACAGAGACAAAAAAAAAUUCACACAGAGAGGCAGACACACAGACAUAUUUACCGAAAUAAUGGGCAGAUAUCUGUUGCCCGAGCGGAUGCACGAGAAGCGUUUACAGUUGGAUCAGUCUUCUGGCCCCGUCUAAUUAUAAAUGAUUUAAUUUCAAUAACAAUUUAAUAAAACUGAGUUUGCAAAACGAAAUUGACAACAAGGGAGAGAGAGAGAGGGCAAUGUUUUCUCAUGCCUGAAUAGUCGAGUUUUUUUUGCCCUCGUGCGUGCUCGCUCUUAUGUGCGUGUGUGUAUGUACGUAUGUAUGAAUAUGUACGUGUAUGUAAUUCGCCAUACUUCUUCAAUUCGAAGAGGCAGACAUAAAGAGACCACAAAACAACAAGAACAAGAACGGCGACGACGAUGAAGGCAAGGAAUACUUGUGAAAUAAAAGCAGCGACGUCGGCAGCAGCAGCUACAACAACAACAACCGCUGCUAUCAACUUGAGCCAUCAGCGCAGCCGUCGUCGUUACUCACCACCACACCUGCAUGUACACUGACACUGCUGUUGCUCUGCGCGUGUGUGCUGCCAAGCGAUAGAAAAUAAGCAAGCGCGUCUAACUGUAACAGCUGCCAUUUAAAUUUCUCUACAAGCAUAAUUUCAGGCCAUGUCGGUACCACUUUUUAACCCUCCUCUCGCAUUUCCUUCUUUUCACGCUACUUGGAUGAAAAUGCCAACGCACUGCAAUAAAUAAGCAACAUAUUUUUGUUGUGUGUUUGGGUAAUUUACAUAUUUUCAAAACGAGACUGCUGUCAUUUGUAGGUACACACACACACACAGUGAGACACACAUACAGAGCUGAAGUUUCAACCCCAGCGUGAAAGCCAAGCGCAGUGAAUUGCAACGGCGCAAAUUUCAACCUCGAACUUCGCUGUCGACGUCAACGUUGCCGUCGCCUGCUUUCCCAUUUCCAUUUCCUUCCAUCCGCAAUCCAGCGGCGAGAAGCCGUCAAACGCUGAAAACUAAUUGAUAUAAUAGUUAAAAUAACAAACUAACGAGAAAGAAGUUGGCAGCAGCGGCAAGCGAAGCCGCAAAGAUGUGAGGAGAAGGAAGAGGAGGUAGAGCAGAGGAGAAGGAGGAAGGAGAUACACAAAGAAACGACGACUGCUGCUGCGUUGGCGAAGUGCAAAACCUUUCCAAUUUGAAAAUAGCUUUGUGCUGUUUGUUGUUGUUUGUGGGAACGAGCACACAACAACAACAACAACAAACGGCAACCAGUAGAACAACAAGCAAGCACUAUGUGCCAAGGAGUAUGAUCGAGAGGGGAGAUGAGAGAAGAAUAGUUUGCCGCAAGCAAAAGAUGACAAUGCAGCGAUUAAAGCAAAGCAGAACGCGUCGCAACUUGAACUUUGGUCAAGUCGUCUCUUCGACACUCUGCUGCUUCCAACGGCAUCUGGAAAAAUGCUUUUUCUCGUUCCAAUGCGCGGCAUUUCCGUUUGCCGGUGAGGAUGCUGCACUUGCAGCAUGCAGUUGAAGUUGUAUUAUUAAAUCAAAAAUAAAAUAUGUGUGCAAUUUA
rnacentral:sRNA from 1 species